ACCUCAAGUCAAGUAAGAGUACCCGCUGAACUUAAGCAUAUCAAUAAGCGGAGGAAAAGAAACUAACAAGGAUUCCCUUAGUAACGGCGAGUGAAGUGGGAAAAGCUCAAAUUUUAAAUCUGUCUUGGUGAAACCAGGCAGAGUUGUAAUUUGAAGAAACGUAUUCAACGUCAUGGAAUGAUCAAAAUCCUUUGGAAAGAGGUAUCAUGGAGGGUGAUAAUCCCGUUCAUGGUCAAGCCAGAAGCGUUACCUAUGCGUUUUCUAAGAGUCGAGUUGUUUGGGAUUGCAGCUCAAAAUGGGUGGUAAAUUUCACCUAAGGCUAAAUAUUUGCGAGAGACCGAUAGCGAACAAGUACCGUGAGGGAAAGAUGAAAAGAACUUUGAAAAGAGAGUCAAAAGUACGUGAAAUUGUUAAAAGGGAAACGAUUGAAGUCAGUCAUGCUUGCAAGUAAUCAGCUUAAGGUAUUCUUUAAGUGUACUUUCUUGUCUAGCAAGUUAGCGUCGAUUUUAAUUAUCUUAAAAUAACUAGGGGAAUGUAACUCCCUCGGGAGCGUUAUAGCCCUUGGUAAGAUGAGAUGAUUGAGAUCGAGGAUUGCAGCGAAUGCUCAUUAGGGCUAGCAACUUAAUCUCUGAAUGGCCCCUGGUUAUAAACAGCUUGCUGAUUAUGAUUAGGUUAGCUUAUCAAAAGGUUUAGUUUGCUUAAAUUCGUUAAGGAUGCUGACGUAAUGGCUUUAAACGACCCGUCUUGAAACACGGACCAAGGAGUCUAACAUAUAUGCGAGUGUUUGAGUGGUAAACUCAUACGCGUAAUGAAAGUGAUUUAGGUGGGAUCCCUUUAUUGGGGAGCACCAUCGACCGAUCAGGAUAUUCUUUGAUAGAUUUGAGUAAGAGCAUAUCUGUUAGGACCCGAAAGAUGGUGAACUAUGCCUGAAUAGGGUGAAGCCAGAGGAAACUCU
rnacentral:rRNA from 1 species